UACGUAGGGUGCAAGCGUUGUCCGGAAUUAUUGGGCGUAAAGAGCUCGUAGGCGGUUUGUCGCGUCUGCUGUGAAAACUCGGGGCUUAACUCCGGGCUUGCAGUGGGUACGGGCAGACUAGAGUGCGGUAGGGGAGACUGGAAUUCCUGGUGUAGCGGUGAAAUGCGCAGAUAUCAGGAGGAACACCGGUGGCGAAGGCGGGUCUCUGGGCCGUAACUGACGCUGAGGAGCGAAAGCAUGGGGAGCGAACAGG
rnacentral:rRNA from 1 species